AUAAAAGAAGGACCAGUUGGAGAUGGUGGUGGCAGUGAUGGUGGUGGCAGCAGCACAUAGCUUUAGUCUUCAUAGACACAGGCAUAUCUCUUGAGUUCAAGGAAAGCCAGGACUACACAGUGUUACCCUGUUUUGAAAACCAAGAAGAAACAAACAAACAAAAGAUAAAUUCCCAAUACUCAAGAGGCAGAGGCAGGAGGAUCUCUGUUAGUUUGAGGAUAGUAUGGUCUAUAUAGAAUUCCAGGUCAGCCAGGAUUUCAUAGUCAAGACCCCAUCUCUCAGAAAAACUGUGUUGGUUUGUACCAUGUUGGAAAAAUGGAUCUUUUAAAAAAAUCUUUGUGCUCUUCUGUCUGUAACUGCAUGGCCACCAUUUUUCCUAGGUUUCUUCAACUUGUAGAUACUGAGAUACUCUCUCCUGCUUCAUUGUGGUGUGGCCGCAAAAUAUGGGGCUUUGUUGUUGCUGCUGCUGAAUUGGUUUUUUGUUUGUUUGGUUCGUGUUUUGUUUUUGAGACAGGGUGGUUUUUGUUUUGUUAUUUAUUUAUUUAUUUAUUUAUUUUCCCGGAGCUG
rnacentral:lncRNA from 1 species